AACGAACGCUGGCGGCAUGCCUAACACAUGCAAGUCGAACGAGAUCUUCGGGUCUAGUGGCGCACGGGUGCGUAACGCGUGGGAAUCUGCCCUUUGGUUCGGAAUAACAGUUGGAAACGACUGCUAAUACCGGAUGAUGACGAAAGUCCAAAGAUUUAUCGCCAGAGGAUGAGCCCGCGUAGGAUUAGCUAGUUGGGGUGGUAAAGGCGCACCAAGGCGACGAUCCUUAGCUGGGCUGAGAGGAUGAUCAGCCACACUGGGACUGAGACACGGCCCAGACUCCUACGGGAGGCAGCAGUGGGGAAUAUUGGACAAUGGGCGAAAGCCUGAUCCAGCAAUGCCGCGUGAGUGAUGAAGGCCUUAGGGUUGUAAAGCUCUUUUACUCGGGAUGAUAAUGACAGUACCGGGAGAAUAAGCUCCGGCUAACUCCGUGCCAGCCGCCGCAGUAA
rnacentral:rRNA from 1 species